AGAAUCAACGCUGGCGGCGUGCCUAACACAUGCAAGUCGAACGAGAAAGUGGAGCAAUCCAUGAGUACAGUGGCGCACGGGUGAGUAACACGUGACUACCUACCCUCGAGUGGGGAAUAACCUCGGGAAACCGGGGCUAAUACCGCAUAACAUCUACGGAUCAAAUGCGAAAGCAGCUUGAGGAGGGGGUCGCGGCCGAUUAGCUAGUUGGUGAGGUAAUGGCCCACCAAGGCAAUGAUCGGUAGCCGGCCUGAGAGGGCGCACGGCCACACUGGAACUGAAACACGGUCCAGACUCCUACGGGAGGCAGCAGUGGGGAAUUUUGCGCAAUGGGGGAAACCCUGACGCAGCAACGCCGCGUGGAGGAUGAAGCCCCUUGGGGUGUAAACUCCUUUCGAUCGGGACGAUUAUGACGGUACCGGAAGAAGAAGCACCGGCUAACUCUGUGCCAGCAGCCGC
rnacentral:rRNA from 1 species